CCUACGGGUGGCAGCAGUGGGGAAUAUUGGGCAAUGGGCGCAAGCCUGACCCAGCAACGCCGCGUGAAGGAAGAAGGCUUUUCGGUUGUAAACCCCCUGUGAUGGGGAAGCGCAGAAGACGGUACCUCUCGAAUAAGCCACGGCUAACUAAGUGUCAGCAGCCGCGGUCAUACGUAGGUGGCAAGCGUUGUCCGGACUUACUGGGUGUAAAGGGCGUGUAGGCGGGCUGACAAGUCAGUUGUGAAAGCCGGGGGCUCAACCCGCGAACUGCAUUUGAAACUGUGGGUCUUGAGUAGCGGAGAGGCAGGCGGAAUUCCUGGUGUAGCAGUGAAAUGCGUAGAUAUUGGGAGGAACACCAGUGGCGAAGGCGGGCUGCUGGACAACAACUGACGGUGAGGCGCGAAAGCGUGGGGAGCGAACGGGAUUAGAUACCCCAGUAGUC
rnacentral:rRNA from 1 species